CCCCUAGACGUUCUGGGCUGCACGCGCGCUACAAUAAUACGCACAGCGAGUAUCACCGAGCUCGAAAGGGCAAGGUAAACAAUAGAAAAGGUACUGUAAUGGUUAUAGAUCCUUGUAAUUAUUGAUCUUCAACGAGGAAUUCCUAGUAAGUAUGUGUCAUCAUCACGCACUGAUUACGUCCCUGCCCUUUGUACACACCGCUCGUCGCUCCUACCGAUUGGGUGAGCCGAUGAAACUCUCGGAUGUAGGCUAUUCAUAGCCCGCAGAAGAGAUUUGAAUCGUAGCGCUUAGAGGAAGGAGAAGUCGUAACA
rnacentral:rRNA from 1 species